rnacentral:rRNA from 1 species
ACGCGAAGAACCUUACCUGCCCUUGACAUACAGCGAAUCCCGAAGAGAUUUGGGAGUGCCGAAAGGAGCGCUGAUACAGGUGCUGCAUGGCUGUCGUCAGCUCGUGUCGUGAGAUGUUGGGUUAAGUCCCGUAACGAGCGCAACCCUUAUUCUUAGUUACCAGCGGGUCAAGCCGGGGACAUUAAGAAGACUGCCGGUGACAAACCGGAGGAAGGCGGGGACGACGUCAAGUCAUCAUGGCCCUUAUGGGCAGGGCUACACACGUGCUACAAUGGUUGGUACAGAGGGAAGCGAAGCGGCGACGUGAAGCAAAUCUCAUAAAGCCAAUCGUAGUCCGGAUUGAGGUCUGCAACUCGACCUCAUGAAGUCGGAAUCGCUAGUAAUCGGAAAUCAGAAUGUUCCGGUGAAUACGUUCCCGGGCCUUGUACACACCGCCCGUCACACCAUGGGAGUGGGCUGCACCAGAAGCAGAUGGCUNANC